UUCCUACGGGGGGCAGCAGUGGGGAAUAUUGGACAAUGGGGGGAACCCUGAUCCAGCGACGCCGCGUGAGUGAAGAAGUAUUUCGGUAUGUAAAGCUCUAUCAGCAGGGAAGAAAAUGACGGUACCUGACUAAGAAGCCCCGGCUAACUACGUGCCAGCAGCCGCGGUAAUACGUAGGGGGCAAGCGUUAUCCGGAUUUACUGGGUGUAAAGGGAGCGUAGACGGCUGUGCAAGCCAGAUGUGAAAGCCCGGGGCUCAACCCCGGGACUGCAUUUGGAACUGCGUGGCUUGAGUGUCGGAGAGGG
rnacentral:rRNA from 1 species